AAACUAUUCUUAAAAAGCAAAAAAAAAAACUUUAAAUACCACUUAUGUGAUUUUACACUUUCUCAUUUUAAUAUUCUGUAGUUUAAAAUGUAUCACUUUUAUACCCUAUAAUUUUANUUCUCUUUUUUUAUUUUUUCUUUAGUUUUUUUCUUAAUUUUUCGUUAAAUUAUAUGCAAAAAAAUUUCAGAUAUCCAUCUAGAUUUACCGAAUAUUUACUUUAGUACCCUUUAAUUUUAAUUUUGUUACUGAUUUGAGAAAAAAAAUAAUAAAAUUAAUAAAAAAAGAGAAAAACGAAACAACAGGAGGGCAAAUUGAUACAAUUUAAACCAUAGGGUACUAAAGUGAGAAAAUUGGAAACCACAGGAAGGAUUUUUAAAAUUAUCCUUUAUUUUGUUUUAUUCGCUUCCCGCUUUAUUUAUUUUUUUUUAAAAAAUAUAAUUAUUAAAUUUUUUGCCAUUUGCGUUGGGGACUGCAGGCAC
rnacentral:lncRNA from 1 species